rnacentral:rRNA from 1 species
UAUUUGAGAGUUUGAUCCUGGCUCAGGACGAACGCUGGCGGCGUGCUUAACACAUGCAAGUUGAACGGUCUGACAUGGAAGCUUGCUGAAGUGUCGGGUAGUAGCGGACGGGUGAGUAAUGCAUGAGAAGCUGCCAUUGGGAGGGGGACAACAGUUGGAAACGGCUGCUAAUACCCCAUAUGCCGAAAGGUGAAAGGGAGCGAUCCGCCCGAUGAGGUGCUCAUGUCCUAUCAGCUGGUUGGUGAGGUAACGGCUCACCAAGGCGACGACGGGUAGCCGGCCUGAGAGGGUGACCGGCCACACUGGAACUGAGAUACGGUCCAGACUCCUACGGGAGGCAGCAGUGGGGAAUAUUGGGCAAUGGGGG